rnacentral:rRNA from 1 species
CCGAAGUAUCUUGGUGGCAUGGGUUUCAGAGAAAUGGAGGUCUUUAACCUCGCCUUGCUUGCGCGGCAGGCAUGGAGGCUGCUGGAUGAACCCAACUCUCUUAGUGCAAGGCUUCUGAAGGCAGUUUAUUUUCCUAACAAUAGUUUUCUUGAAGCAGAACUUGGUAGCCAUCCAUAGCAAAUAUGGAGAGCCAUUGUUGAUGGG